rnacentral:rRNA from 1 species
CCUACGGGAGGCAGCAGUGGGGAAUAUUGCACAAUGGGGGAAACCCUGAUGCAGCGACGCCGCGUGAGUGAAGAAGUAUUUCGGUAUGUAAAGCUCUAUCAGCAGGGAAGAAAAUGACAGUACCUGACCAAGAAGCCCCGGCUAACUACGUGCCAGCAGCCGCGGUAAUACGUAGGGGGCAAGCGUGAUCCGGAUUUACUGGGUGUAAAGUGAGCGUAGACGGCUGUGUAAGUCAGGGGUGAAAGCCCGGGGCACAACCUCGGGACUGCUUUGGAAACUGUGAAACUGGAGUGCAGGAGAGGCAAGUGGAAUUCCUGGUGGAGGAGUGAAAUCCGUAGAUAUCGGGAGGAACAGCAGCGGCGAAGGCGACCAGCUGG